UUUCAAGGCGGGGCGAAAUUCCCUACCGGCGGUAAAAGCAGCGACGGAUUGCUUCUGCAAAAAUCGGCGCAAAACAGUCGAAAGCAGUUUGAUUCAGCUUAAGCCCGCAACCCGCGAAAGCGGCUGAUUCGGUGAGAUUCCGAAGCCGACGGUUACAGUCCGGAUGAGAGAAA
rnacentral:ncRNA from 1 species